rnacentral:misc_RNA from 1 species
CGGCUUCAAAGGUCUUGCCAUCGGGGGUGACAAGGACGGAGGUCAUGAGACCCAGGGAGCCGAAGCCCUGGGCUACAAUGUCGGAUUGGACGUCACCGUCGUAGUUCUUCAUGGCAAUGAGCAUGCCACCGUCAGACUUGAUCAUCUGCGCGACCAUAUCGUCGAUGAGACGGUGCUCAUACCAGAGACCCUUGGCCUCAAACUCCUUCCUGUG